rnacentral:lncRNA from 1 species
AGAGAUUCCAAUGUGGUUCGGUUUCUUUUCUGAGCUUCAAAUCUUAAUUCUUGAUAACAACGGUUUCACUGCUAUACCUCCUGCUUCUAUUUCUAACCUGUCCAAGUUAGAAACUCUCAGUGUCAGUAAUAAUCAUCUUCAAGGCAGUUUUCCCAAAGAUAUUGGCAAUCUUCAGAGUUUAAAGGAGCUGGUUUUAGUCAGUAACCAACUUACUGGAUCUAUUCCAUACUCCAUUUUCAACAUCUCCUCGUUGGAGACUUUAGCUCUCACAUAUAAUCAAUUAUCAGGGAGUCUUCCUGCAGAUAUAUGCCGCGGUCUGCAAAAAAUAAAGAGCAUUUCAAUAAUUUCCAACCAGUUGAGUGGUCACAUUCCAGCUAGUUUGUCUAACUGCACACAACUGUAUGACUUGUCAUUGUCAUACAAUAACUUCAAUGGGAUCAUUCCACCAGAAAUUGUAAACUUGGAGAGGCUUGAGUUCUUAAACCUUGGGGGAAACCACC